AUAUUGUAACACGUAAUAUAUAUCAAAGAUAUUUGUGAUUUUAAGUAUGGAUUUUGUUGAGCAGGAAAUGGUUUGAACUGAACUAACCCAGCUCUCCUGUUGUCCUCCAGGUGGAUUUAUCCACAGGCCUAGCCAUUGAGGAGGCAUGCUACGCCCAGGUGAUACCAACUAAAGACCGUUUGGAGGGUUUGGCUGCUUUCAGGGAGAAGAGGAUUCCUCAGUUCAAGGGCGAGUGAGGCUACGCUGACAUAAUCUGCCCCCGAGUUCUGCCUUCAGUUCUGCUGCUUCCAACAUAACAAUGUGUGACAGUGUACAAGUCAACACAUUAACUGUGAAGAAAUCUGAGUGCAGGACAACACACCUCGAUCCUGGCCCGUGUUUCAACUAACAACUUAGCAAUUGGUUUCUGCAAGUGAACUCACUCAGCAGCAGCCACUGCUUACAAUGAUUUACAUUUAAAAACAUAAAGCUGAAGUCACUGACAACAGCCUUCUACACCA